GUGGAUGCCUGGGUAUGCUAAGCCGAUGAAGGACGUGAUAGGCUGCGUUAAGCCUCGGGGAGUUGCCUGAUGAGCGUUGAUCCGAGGGUGUCCGAAUGGGGAAACCCGGCCAUGGUUAUGUGUGGUCACCCGCCAGUGAAUGAAAUAGUUGGUUGGGGGGUUACGCGGGGAAGUGAAACAUCUUAGUACCCGUAGGAGGAGAAAACAAGAGUGAUUCUGCUAGUAGUGGCGAGCGAACGUGGAUAAGGCUAAACCGUGUGCGUGUGAUACCGGGUAGGGGUUACGCAUGCGGGGUUAGAGGAGCACGGCGUAUCAGUUCUACCUCGGCUGGUGCUGUUGUUGGUGUGUGUUAGUGGAAGUGGUGUGGAAUCGCCUGCCAGAGACGGUGAGAGUCCGGUACACGAAAACACUCGCUUGCGGGGUUGUUGUGUUUCCUGAGUAGCGGCGGGCUCGUGGAAUCUGUCGUGAAUUUGCCGGGACCACCCGGUAAGCCUAAAUACUUAGCAUGACCGAUAGUGGAUCAAGUACCGUGAGGGAAUGGUGAAAAGUACCCCGGGAGGGGAGUGAAAGAGUACCUGAAACCAUGUGCUGAUAAUCCGUCAUAGCCCCCCCCUUGUGGUGGGGUGGUGGCGUGCCUUUUGAAGAAUGAGCCUGCGAGUCAGUGGCAUGUUGCGUGGUUAACCAUGAGUGUGGGGAGCCGUAGCGAAAGCGAAUCCUAACUAGGGUGUGUGUGGCAUGUUCUGGACCCGAAGCGGGGUGAUCUACCCAUGGCCAGUGUGAAGCAGAGGUAAGACUUUGUGGAGGCGCGAACCCACUUAGGUUGAAAACUGAGGGGAUGAGUUGUGGGUAGGGGUGAAAGGCCAAUCAAACUCCGUGAUAGCUGGUUCUCCCCGAAAUGCAUUUAGGUGCAGCGUCGCAUAGUGUGCUUGUUGGAGGUAGAGCUACUGGUUGGUUGAGCGGGACGAUAAUCUUAGCAACAUCAGCUAAACUCCGAAUGCCAGCAAUGUGGGUGCGGCAGUGAGACUGCGGGGGAUAAGCUCCGUUGGUCGAGAGGGAAACAGCCCAGAUCGUCGGUUAAGGCCCCUAAGGGUGUGCUCAGUGGGAAAGGAUGUGGGAUCGCGAAGACAGCCAGGAGGUUGGCUUAGAAGCAGCCAUCCUUGAAAGAGUGCGUAAUAGCUCACUGGUCGAGUGGUUCUGCGCCGAUAAUGUAGCGGGGCUUAAGUACACCGCCGAAACCGCGGCAAUACUAUUUUAUUGGUGUUGGGUAGGGGAGCGUCGUGCAUGUGUUGAAGCUACUUGGUGACAGGUGGUGGAGUGUGUGCGAGUGAGAAUGCAGGCAUGAGUAACGAUUGAUGUGUGAGAAACAUAUCCGCCGGAUGACUAAGGGUUCCUGGGUGAAGUUUGUCUUCCCAGGGUGAGUCGGGGCCUAAGGCGAGGCCGACAGGCGUAGUCGAUGGAUGACGGGUUGAUAUUCCCGUACCCGUGUGCGUGCGACAAGUGAUGAAUCUUAUGGUACUAACCACCCGCCUACGUGCACUGGUCUUUUUGGUUGGUGUGUGUGGGUGCGUGGGAUCUUCGUGGGUAGUAGUCAAGUGAUGGGGUGACGCAGAGUGGUAGCUAGGCUUCCUUAUUGGAUUGGAGUGCAAGCGUGUGGCCUGUGGGGUUGGGAAAUCCGCCCCACAUAUGAAGGUGAGGCGUGAUGCGGACACCAUGUUGUGGUGGUAGUUAGUGUGCCUGUGCUGUCUAGAAAAGCCUCUAGCGAGUGCGUGCAUGGCCCGUACCGGAAACCGACACAGGUGGUCAGGUAGAGAAUACUAAGGCGUUCGGGUGAACUGUGGUUAAGGAACUCGGCAAAAUGCCCCCGUAACUUCGGGAGAAGGGGGACCAUUACUGGUUGCUGACAGCAUUUUAGCUGGUGGUGGUCGCAGAGGAGAGAGGGAAGCGACUGUUUAUUAAAAACACAGGUCCGUGCGAAAACGUGGAAGUUGAGGUAUACGGACUGACGCCUGCCCGGUGCUGGAAGGUUAAGAGGACCCGUGAGCACGCCUUAUGUGUGCGAGGCGGAGAAUUGAAGCCCCAGUAAACGGCGGUGGUAACUAUAACCAUCCUAAGGUAGCGAAAUUCCUUGUCGGGUAAGUUCCGACCUGCACGAAUGGCGUAACGACAGACCCCGGGACCUUUACUAUAGCUUGGUAUUGGUGUUUGGUCAUGCUUGUGUAGGAUAGGUGGGAGACUGUGAAACCGCAACGCUAGUUGUGGUGGAGUCGCAGGUGAAAUACCACUCUGGUGUGAUUGGGUACCUGAACCUUGGCCCGUGAUCCGGGUUGGGGACAGUGCCUGGUGGGUAGUUUAACUGGGGCGGUUGCCUCCUAAAUGGUAACGGAGGCGCCCAAAGGUUUCCUCAGUCUGGUUGGCAAUCAGAUGGUGAGUGUAAGUGUAUAAGGGAGCUUGACUGUGACACUGACGGGUGGAGCAGGUGCGAAAGCAGGGACUAGUGAUCCGGCACCGACGUGUGGUUGUGGUGUCGCUCAACGGAUAAAAGGUACCCCGGGGAUAACAGGCUGAUCUUCCCCAAGAGUUCAUAUCGACGGGAUGGUUUGGCACCUCGAUGUCGGCUCGUCGCAUCCUGGGGCUGGAGUAGGUCCCAAGGGUUGGGCUGUUCGCCCAUUAAAGCGGCACGCGAGCUGGGUUUAGAACGUCGUGAGACAGUUCGGUCUCUAUCCGCCGCGCGCGUUGAAACUUGAAGAAGGCUGUCCCUAGUACGAGAGGACCGGGAUGGACGUACCUCUGGUAUGCCAGUUGUCACGCCAGUGGCAUGGCUGGUUAGCUACGUGCGGGAGGGAUAACCGCUGAAAGCAUCUAAGCGGGAAGCCUGUUUUAAGAUGAGGUUUCUGUUGAGGUUCCCUAUAGAUGAUGGGGUUGAUAGGCCAGGGCUGUGAGCAUGGUGACGUGUUGUAAGGUGACUGGUACUAAUACACCGACACAAAAAACACC
rnacentral:rRNA from 1 species